rnacentral:misc_RNA from 1 species
GUUUUCUUCCAGUUACUAGCUCCAAUAGCACGACACCAAAGCUGUAAAUGUCGUUCUUUUCUGUCACUCUGAGAGUGUAUGCUAUUUCAGGCGCCAUGUAACCAUGAGUACCUGCAAAACAACUGAACUCGGAUCCCCUAGAAGAAAUUUCUGAAACUUUUGCAACCCCGAAAUCUGAAACUUUUGCUUCAUAAUACUCAUCAAGUAGAAUGUUGGUUGAUUUGAUAUCUCUGUGAAUAAUAGGAGGGCAACAAUCAUGAUGCAGAUAAGCAAUUCCUUUUGCAGCUCCAAGGGCUAUUUUAUAUCUCUGGUACCAAUCUAGUUCUGGUUUGC